AAGAUUAAGCCAUGCAUGUCUAAGUAUACGCGAUAUACAGUGAAACUGCGAAUGGCUCAUUAAAUCAGUCAUCGUUUAUUUGAUAGUACUUACUACAUGGAUAUCCGUGGUAAUUCUAGAGCUAAUACAUGCCUUUCUUGCAUUUAUUAGAUAAACCGACGUUUUGGCGAUUCAUAAUAACUUGCGGACCCCUGCGGGGGCGGUUCAUUCAAAUUUCUG
rnacentral:rRNA from 1 species